UCCGGUUUGUCACCGGCAGUCUCAUUAGAGUGCCCUUUCGUAGCAACUAAUGACAAGGGUUGCGCUCGUUGCGGGACUUAACCCAACAUCUCACGACACGAGCUGACGACAGCCAUGCAGCACCUGUGUUCUGGCUCCCUUUCGGGCACUUCCGCAUCUCUGCAGAAUUCCAGACAUGUCAAGGGUAGGUAAGGUUUUUCGCGUUGCAUCGAAUUAAACCACAUCAUCCACCGCUUGUGCGGGUCCCCGUCAAUUCCUUUGAGUUUUAGCCUUGCGGCCGUAGUCCCCAGGCGGUGUACUCAUCGCGUUAGCUUCGUUACCAAGGAAUUGCUUCCCCGACAACCAGUUGACAUAGUUUAGGGCGUGGACUAC
rnacentral:misc_RNA from 1 species